rnacentral:rRNA from 1 species
GGAUUUCAUUUGUAGCAAUCCGUAUGAAAUCUAGUGGCGAACGGGUGCGUAACACGUGAGCAAUCUGCCGGGAAGUGGGGGAUAACUCGCCGAAAGGCGAAUUAAUACCGCAUAUGGCCAGGGAAGACAUCUUCCCGAAGCCAAAGUCGCAAGACGCUUCCUGAUGAGCUCGCGGCCUAUCAGCUAGUUGGUGAGGUAACGGCUCACCAAGGCUAUGACGGGUAGCUGGUCUGAGAGGACGACCAGCCACACUGGAACUGAGACACGGUCCAGACACCUACGGGUGGCAGCAGUCGAGAAUUUUUCACAAUGGGGGAAACCCUGAUGGAGCGACGCCGCGUGGAGGAUGAAGGUUUUCGGAUUGUAAACUCCUGUCAAAUGGGAACAAGAAAGUGAUAGUACCAUUAGAGGAAGAGACGGCUAACUCUGUGCCAGCAGCCGCGGUAAUACAGAGGUCUCAAGCGUUGUUCGGAUUCAUUGGGCGUAAAGGGUGCGCAGGCUGUGGGGUAAGUCGGAUGUGAAAUUUAGGGGCUCAACCUCUAAACUGCAUUCGAUACUGCUCCGCUAGAGGUAUGUAGAGGAGAUUGGAAUUCACGGUGUAGCAGUGAAAUGCGUAGAUAUCGUGAGGAAGACCAGUGGCGAAGGCGAAUCUCUGGGCAUUACCUGACGCUCAUGCACGAAGGCCAGGGGAGCAAACGG